AUCGCUUCUCAACCUUUUGGCUAAGAUCAAGUGUAGUAUCUGUUCUUAUCAGUUUAUAAGGUAUAUAAGUUCUUGGUCAGAUUAUCUUCCUCAUUACUCAAGCAGGCUAAAGCAAGCUAGAAAGCAAAGCUAUUUUUUUAGAAUAAGAGGCCGUCUAAAGAAUAGCAGAGAAUU
rfam:Myotis lucifugus cont2.21651, whole genome shotgun sequence.